UCUUCUCCAUCCUGAAGAAAACAGACAUCUGGUCCCAAGCCCACAAGGAAGAAGCUGAACCGCAAAAACAAGUGUAUCACAAACCAGACCCAAAGAGCUCUUUGCAGGAUCUUCUAAAACCUCAGACAAUGCAGAAGGAAGAGUUGAUAACUAUGCAACCCACUGACCUUUCUGCCAGGGAGUUUGUGGUUUACCAGUAUGGCCUCUCCAUCCUGCACCUCCUCAUCCCCCAGCUUCAUGCUCCAGAAAUCAUCCUGAAGAUUGCUUCUCAUCUUCCUGCCAUGGAAGCCCAAGGCAGUGCCUUCCAAGGUGCCUUCUUCUAUCAGUGCUGAAAACACACUGUUCAUUGGGAGAGAAUGUUUGGCCUCUGUGGGAAGCUUUGUUCUGCUGCUGAUCCGCUGCCUGGCCCACAUCACUGCUGGGGAACCCCACGAGGACUCCGGCCCUGCCUUUCUGGGGUCAUUUUACAAGGGCCUGGAGGCCUAUUUCAGGGAAGCAUUCUCUAUCACACUGAGAAUGUCAGUGGUUUCCAGAGACAGUAAACUUGACCAAAGCAUAAGUGCUAUCCUGCUGGAAGAGCAGCCCAUCUCUGACAGAGAAAGAGAUCUUCUGUCUAAACUCAUUGAAAUGAAGCAUGUAUCUCCCUUGGAGCCAGAAUCACUAGAAGAGGAAACUCAUUGAAAUGAAGCAUGUAUCUCCCUUGGAGCCAGAAUCACUAGAAGAGUGUAUUCAGAAAAACAAAGAUCUUCGGCUCUUCACCAGUAUGGAAUAUUUCCUAAAAAGCAUCCUCGCUGCAGAACAACAAAUCCUAAGAAAACCAAGAAAUCAAUCUGGGAGUGAAGAUAAGAUCUAGAAAGAAAAUGGUCAUCUCACUUCAGUCUGCAUGAUUAAAAGGUCUUAAAUACAUCACUACAACAUCUGAUGAAGCUGAUAAGAAUUAUUGGAAAAUCUAUAAUAUUCAUGGUAAAUCACAUAAAUGUGUAUCAUAGUUUUAGGUGUAUAUAUAAUAGGGGCUAAUAUUUGCCACAGAAGUUGAGGACCCCUGCUCACUGUGACUAAAAUUUUCAGUGUGACUAAAAGAUCAUUAGAUCACAUAUCUUAUUAAAAUAUUUAUUAAAGAUAUUGACUAAAACUCUUUCUGGGAAUGU
rnacentral:sRNA from 1 species